rnacentral:rRNA from 1 species
GAUGAACGCUGGCGGCGUGCCUAAUACAUGCCAGUCGAGCGAACAGACGAGGAGCUUGCUCCUCUGACGUUAGCGGCGGACGGGUGAGUAACACGUGGAUAACCUACCUAUAAGACUGGGAUAACUUCGGGAAACCGGAGCUAAUACCGGAUAAUAUAUUGAACCGCAUGGUUCAAUAGUGAAAGACGGGUUUGCUGUCACUUAUAGAUGGAUCCGCGCCGCAUUAGCUAGUUGGUAAGGUAACGGCUUACCAAGGCAACGAUGCGUAGCCGACCUGAGAGGGUGAUCGGCCACACUGGAACUGAGACACGGUCCAGACUCCUACGGGAGGCAGCAGUAGGGAAUCUUCCGCAAUGGGCGAAAGCCUGACGGAGCAACGCCGCGUGAGUGAUGAAGGUCUUCGGAUCGUAAAACUCUGUUAUUAGGGAAGAACAAAUGUGUAAGUAACUAUGCACGUCUUGACGGUACCUAAUCAGAAAGCCACGGCUAACUACGUG